GAUGUUCUGGGCCGCACGCGCGCUACACUGACAGAGCCAGCGAGUACAUCACCUUGGCCGAAAGGUCUGGGUAAUCUUGUUAAACUCUGUCGUGCUGGGGAUAGAGCAUUGCAAUUAUUGCUCUUCAACGAGGAAUGCCUAGUAAGCGCAAGUCAUCAGCUUGCGUUGAUUACGUCCCUGCCCUUUGUACACACCGCCCGUCGCUACUACCGAUUGAAUGGCUCAGUGAGGCCUUGGGACUGGCUCAGAGAGGUCGGCAACGACCACUCAGAGCCGGAAACUUGGUCAAACUUGGUCAUUUAGAGGAAGUAAAAGUCGUAACAAGGUUUCCGUAGGUACGUAAUAUAUCGAAAUCUCCUCUCUACCUUGUAACCAUCCACUAACAUUCUUCUAGGUGAACCUGCGGAAGGAUCAUUA
rnacentral:rRNA from 1 species